UACGUAGGGGCCCAGCGUUGUCCGGAUUCAUUGGGCGUAAAGAGCUCGUAGGCGGUUUGGUAAGUCUGGUGUGAAAUCUCCACGCUCAACGUGGAGGGGCCACCCGAUACUGCCAUGACUGGAGUCCGGUAGAGGAGUGUGGAAUUCCCGGUGUAGCGGUGAAAUGCGCAGAUAUCGGGAGGAACACCCGUAGCGAAGGCGGCACUCUGGGCCGGUACUGACGCUGAGGAGCGAAAGCGUGGGGAGCAAACAGG
rnacentral:rRNA from 1 species